CAAGAGAUGAGUUGUCUUUGCAGAUGGGGCGUCCUUACUCCCAGUCUUUCCAGAUGUUCUUCCCACUCCUCAACUGCUCCUGGCUCAGAAACCCUGCACACCUGGAAGAAAGUGAGAACCAGUUUUUCAACAAACACAUUGCACAGACUUAUUGUGAACCCCGGGUGGAAUCAAGCAUCGGAGGAAGAGAACGUGGGUCUUGCUGUGUCCCUAGGCUGGAGUGCAGUGGUGCAGUCUCAAUUAUGCCAGAUGGCUCUGAGGUCCAAGUAAAAGAUAAUAUUUGCAACCAACUCACUGGAGUUGACCAUCAAAACUCUUUUCCAGGUGGAAAAGCACCCUGAAUCCAGCUUCCUGCUAUGAAUGAAUACUGAGCUUGGGUUGGUGGAAAUUGAUUUUCGAGAUAAAGAAUCCAGCCAGGACUGUGAAGCCCCAGGGAAUGGCUGCACUUCAAGUCAGAAGGAGCCUGGGUCCCUGAAUCAUCAUGUGGAAGGCUCUCCACCCAGUUCAAUGGUGCAAUGGACCACAAGCAGGAACUUAAUUUAGAAUGUGCUUAUUUUGUUAGAUUUUGUAAUUAAAAAAUGGAUCCCACUCUGACUGAAUCAGAGAUGUUGAAGUCAUUGAUCUGGGAGGGUAUGUUCCUGGGAGUGGGUGGCUGAGGUGAGAUUUCAAACAAGGUUGUUGAGGAAGAGGAGUUCAAGUGACUGAGAGGACAUAUUGUUGGAUAAAUUGUGCGUGCGUGUGUGUGUGUGUGUGUGUGUGUGUUGAAAUCACCAAGAAUAGGGAAAGAAGUGUAUAAGAGAGUGUGGCAGUGAGCCCAGAGCUAAAAGAAAUCAUGAGCAGGGAGUAAUUCACGAGCAGAAAGUAGAAGCAACGAGAGGCAGUUAAUGAGAGAAGCAGCUGAGGGAUUUUAGCAAGGGAUGGG
rnacentral:lncRNA from 1 species